AUGGGAUCUGAUGAUUAUGCUUCAAAUCUUCAGGAAAAGAAACUGCUAGUUUACCUGCAAGCAAGCAGAGUGCUGGUAGCUUCCCGUAAUUUUUCAAAUGAUGCUACAUUUGAGAUUAAGAAAUUUGACCUUCAUCUGUUAGAAGAGAGCCCUCCAGUCACCACAGUGCUCACCAGAGAGGAUGGGCUCAAGUACUACACAAGAUGAUGCACACUGUGCGCCAGAUGGAGCUAAAGGCAGAUCAACUGUAUAAGCAGAAAAUUAUUCGUGUUUUUUGUCACUUGUGCAAUGGUCAGGAAGCCUGCUGUAUGGGCCUGGAGGCUGGCAUAAACCCCACGGACCAUCUCAUCACCGCCCAUUGUGCGUAUGGCUUCACCUUCACUCGGAGCCUGCCUGUCUGUGCAGUUCUUGCGAAGCUAACCACACGAAGAGAAGGUUGUGCUAAAGGGAAAGGCGAACCAAUGCACAUGUAUGCCAAGAACUUCUAUGGGGGCAAUGCCAUUGUUGGAAGUCAGAUGCCUCUGGGAGCAGGAAUUGCUCUGGCCUGCAAGUACAAUGGAAAAGAUGAGAUCUGUUUGACAGUAUAUGGCGAUGGUGCGGCUAACCAGGGUCAGAUAUUUGAACCUUAAAAUAUGGCAGCAUUGUGGAAAUUACCUUGUAUUUUCAUCUGUGAGAAUAACUGCUAUGGCAUGGGAAUAUCGGUUGACAGCGCAGCAGCCAUAACAGACUACUAUAAAAGAGGAGAUUUUAUUCCUGGACUGAGGGUAGAUGGAAUGGAUACUUGUGUAUCCAAAGGAAACAAAGUUUGCAGCUGCCUAUUGCAGGUUUGGUAAGGGGCCUAUCCUGAUGGAACUACUUACUGCUACCAUGGACAUAGCAUGAGUGACCCUAGAAUAAGUUACCACACUCGAGAAGAAAUCCAGGAAGUAAGAAGUAAGAGCGACCCUAUUAUGCUUCUUAAGGAUAGACUGAUGAACAGCAAUCUUGCAAGUGUUGAAGAAUUAAAGGAGAUUGAUGUGGAAGUGAGGAAAGAAGUCGAGGAUGCUGCCCAGUUUGCCACGGCUGAUCCAGAGCCCCGUUGGAGGAACUAGGCUAUCGCAUCUACAGCAAUGAGCCUUCCUUUGAAGUUCGUGGUGCCAACCAGUGGAUCAAGUUUAAGUCAGUCAGAGUGUAUUGGAUUUGUAUAGGAUAUGAGAUGGGUAAAGCAGAGUUUAUGACCUUCCUUCGUCAUAUCCUGGGUCAGUUACUAAAAGGAAGAACUCUGCCGUUUGGUGGUGUGAUCAUAGCUAUGAAUGCCCUCAUGGAGGCCUGCUAG